AUCAACCUUUUAAAUCUGAUUCCAUCCAAAUAUGUCCAUAUGUUUUAUGUAUUUGGUUUUUGGGUGUAAAAGAAAUAUAGAAAGGAACGCUAACUUUUCUUGUGAACAGGAAUUCAACGUUGGUGUCGAGUUUGUGCUUCUGCUAUCGUUUGUUGAUACUGCAUCUGGACAUGCGGAAGAGGCAUUGAUUUCUUUGGAAGAACCGAUUUUUGGAUUUCCAUCAUCAAUUGUUCAAACUACUCAAGGUAUGAAUCUUAAUCUCAGCAGCAAGGUGUACACGUAUGGAGUAGUGAUCAGAUAUCGGUCGUGUGAGCUCUCUUUGCCUUAUUUAGAUUCAGAUACAUGUUGUCUUCAUUUUGCUGAGUGUCAUUAACUGUAUAACUUGUAGUUGACGCUUUUGAGAUAUUCAUGGGAAGCUAAGAAUAAUAAGAAGUAGUCAAUGUGUGGUUCAGCUUAUUUAUGUACCUGAAUCCUAAUUUCCCCAUCCACUGCGGCAUGAACUCGCAUACAAGUGCAUCCUUAUACAAGAUUACACUACAAUUUUAGUACCUUCUGUAUAGCAUAUAGAAGGUAUAUUAUACACACUGCCGAGUGCAUGCAUUGGCCUUCUAGGAUUCAUGGAGUACUUGGAGCUAACACAAGACUUGGCACAAAACCAAGCGCAGUGGUGUUGUAAGAUUCAUACAGGCGACCUCACUAAGUGGAAGAAGGUUUUGUUGUUCCUAUAUAGCAUAUUCUUAGUUUUUUUUCCUAGCAGCUUGAAUUCCGGCUAAGUUUUAAGGUCCAGACACAUUUGGGAUCAUAGUUCUUAGGUUUUUGUCUGUUUCAUUCAACCAACAUAUCUCUAACAUUAAUUCAGAAAUUACAAAACUGCAGAUAUGGAUGUCUAAGUUCGAGCAAAUCAUUCGGAAAACGCUUUCUGUGCAUUUUUCAGUUCAUCCAGUUGGCAAUGUGAUUAUGUAGAGAGGAUCCCUUGAGGGUUUUGAACAUGCAUUCUUGCUCAAUCUGUUUAAUUCAAGAACAAGUAUAUGCAAGCUGGUUUCUCCAUCUUUGUUGUUUCAACCAGUUACUCAAUCCAUCUUCUCGAGAAUCCUCAUACGGAAUCAAAUUAAUCUAAUCAGUCCAGUUCUUAGAGAUCACAAGCAAAAAUGAUAGAGUGUAAAUUGUGAUAUGAUGUGGCAGUUGUAUUUCUAGCUCAUAUUGCUAGGAUGAUUAACUAAAUUGUGUGUAUGCUUUCUUAUCAAAGUCUCAUAGGUCUUAAACAAGUGAGUGUACAUGUGUCUUCAUCUCAUAGGAUGUAAGAUGGAUGGCUAGGAUUGCUUGGAUGUAAUUUUGAAUACUGCCAAAGUUAAAAUGUAAUUGCAGUUAAGAGGAGAGAGACUAUUCCUCUCUCACUCUCAGUGGAAUGAUAAACAGUGUGUGAAAGAAGCAUUAUCAAAGUCA